rnacentral:rRNA from 1 species
UGGGGAAUAUUGCACAAUGGGCGCAAGCCUGAUGCAGCCACGCCGCGUGUGUGAAGAAGGCCUUCGGGUUGUAAAGCACUUUCAGCGAGGAGGAAGGUGGUGAACUUAAUACGUUCAUCAAUUGACGUUACUCGCAGAAGAAGCACCGGCUAACUCCGUGCCAGCAGCCGCGGUAAUACGGAGGGUGCAAGCGUUAAUCGGAAUUACUGGGCGUAAAGCGCACGCAGGCGGUUUGUUAAGUCAGAUGUGAAAUCCCCGGGCUCAACCUGGGAACUGCAUUUGAAACUGGCAAGCUAGAGUCUCGUAGAGGGGGGUAGAAUUCCAGGUGUAGCGGUGAAAUGCGUAGAGAUCUGGAGGAAUACCGGUGGCGAAGGCGGCCCCCCUGGACGAAGACUGACGCUCAGG